rnacentral:rRNA from 1 species
AACGAACGCUGGCGGCAUGCCUAACAUAUGCAAGUCGAACGAGACCUUCGGGUCUAGUGGCGCACGGGUGCGUAACGCGUGGGAACCUGCCCUUAGGUUCGGAAUAACUCCCCGAAGGGGUGCUAAUACCGGAUAAUGUCUUCGGACCAAAGAUUUAUCGCCUUUGGAUGGGCCCGCGUUGGAUUAGCUAGUUGGUAGGGUAAAAGCCUACCAAGGCGACGAUCCAUAGCUGGUCUGAGAGGAUGAUCAGCCACACUGGGACUGAGACACGGCCCAGACUCCUACGGGAGGCAGCAGUGGGGAAUAUUGGACAAUGGGCGAAAGCCUGAUCCAGCAAUGCCGCGUGAGUGAUGAAGGCCUUAGGGUUGUAAAGCUCUUUUACCCGGGAUGAUAAUGACAGUACCGGGAGAAUAAGCCCCGGCUAACUCCGUG